GCUCUUAAAUUGCGUGCUAGGAGGAAGAAAAAGGGGUUGCCUUGUUGUGAUUGGCCCAGAGGAGGGUUCCAUGUGAAAGAGAACUAAGGUCAGAAGUCAUGUGAGCGACCUUGCUGGGGGAGGUUCUUCUAUUUCUAUAGUGAAGCCUGUAGACUACAGUCCCAGAUGACAUCUUGACAACAAGCUCAUGAUUGACUGAGAGCCAAAGCUACCCAGUCGGCUGUAAGUAGAAGGAACAGUCGCUUCAAUUACCCCAGCCAUGAGAAGCUCAGACCAUGGGGACACUCCCUGAGAACACUGCUGAGAUGGGACAUGGGAAAUAACAACAAAAGAAGCAUCCGAGGGGGAAGGUUUGAUCAUGGAGAAACGCUUGGGCAGGCAGCAGCUUCCAGACUCGCUGAAAAACUUUUGGCUGAAUUGGACUGGGAUUCUUGAGGUCAAGCGAACUUUUUAAAAUAUGUAAGCAGAUAUUUUGGAAUGUUUGAUUAAAUUUAGGGGCUAUGAAUACAA